UUCAUCAGGUGAUUGUGAUGUACACACUAGAUGGAUUAGCUAGGGAAAAAUGCAAGGUUAUGGGGAUGGCGUAGAUCUGAGUGGAAUACUCCUCAGAGGGUCGGUCUGGACUCGAUAGGCCGAAUAGUCUGCUCCCGCACUGUAGGGAUGCCCAAUGCUAAGGCGCCGUUGUACUUCUACGUCUGCUCCAUUAACAUUUCGCUCAUGUCCACUGCCAACGAUGAAACAGCCUCCGUAAUAAAAGCUGAGCUGUCAGCAGCUCGGGCAAGCCUGAGAGGGCGCCAGGCCCCGUCACCAUGGCAGCGGCUUUCCGCGAGGCGACCACAGAGGGAAAUAGAACUCCCGCUCCCCGCGCGAGGAGGCCACUGCUUUAAGUAACCGUUACCAACCGUCCCAACACACUCCUCCCUUUGUCGAGAGGUCAGUCCCGAAUGUGGGGAACUUGCAGCAAAGGAAAUUCCUUCGGUGCAAGCAUCACGCCGAAAGAGAGAGAAAGCAUUUUUUUAAAUCAGAAAAUGGAAAGAUGUAUUGUUGUUGGAACAAGUUUUGGGAGACCUGUUUGAGUGGUCUCUGAAGUGGAAAGCACAGAAAAUUUACCAUGUUAUUGGAGAACACAGAAGAAGGUGUUGUACACGCAAAGUUCUUAAUGAAUCAGAUCAGGAGAGGUGGACGUACAUGAUUUAACCCCAUUGGAGAAGAUGGUGCUGGCCAUUGAUGAAAAUGUGGCUGAAACCACUGAAGGUAAUGGUAUCCUGCAGUGUUUACCUAAUCCACGUUCUCAUUCCUGCUUCCUCAUCUCACAAAAAUUUCUACAUUACAUUCUGCAGAUAGUCUAAGCACAUAUCUCUUACAAUACCCCUCUCCUGUCAGUGCAGCCUUACCCUUGUAUCUUAUUCCUUUCAGACACCCAAGAGGUCCAAUCUGGCCAGUCAAUAGAGAAACAUUAUGAACAGAGUGAUGAUGAGAAUACAUUGUCACUUGAUUUCACACUUUCAACCACCAGCUCAGAACUGACAAUGCAGGUAUCUUCAAGGGUUAGAGAUGGGGUUGACAUAUGCUGAAACAGCAAGCACGAGUGUUUGGCAGUCAGUGUAUGGAGCAAGAAUCUAGCUAAUGCUAGCUCACUCAACAUCUGCUGUAGAAGACUCAGAAUACACCAUCAAUGUUCUCACAGAAGAAGGUUUGAAGGCAAAGACAAUGAUUGAUGCAUUGAGAAGGUUGCUUGAAAAUCAAAGUGCUUGGCAGAGUCCAUACCAACUUGGCAUAGGGUUUUUCUUGAAGAAUCUGCUUUGCAAAAUGUAAGUUUGCACCAAUUCCAUGAGCACACUUAUGGACCCACCCAACAUAUAACUAUUGACAACUGAUGUCUCAGCCUCUUUUGCAAAAUAAGCAAUCUGUCCUCCAACAAAUUUCUUGGUUGUUAGGCCUGCCCUGGGGGAGUAGCAAUUGGGCUAUGGAGCUCUUCCAGGUUGAUAGCACCUUGCCACCAACCUCCUUAACAUUUCAGCAGUGCCUUUACUGUUGUUCAUCAGCCAGCCAAUCCAGAGGUCCGCUGAGAUGGUGCGAAGUUGAACUAUCUCCUCCCAGAGUUGCUAAAUAUCAUCCUACAAGGCCAUAGGUAGUUUUCUCCAUUAGAAGUCAAUAACCUUCUAUAACCAUGCUUCAGCCUUUGGAGUAGAACUACUACAAACUGGAGCAUCAGAACAGCCAAAGGCAUAUGGAGGACUGCCACCAAGAAAAUGCACAAAGCAUAUUUAAGUUACAUACAAUAUUGCAAGAUAUAAUAAUAACAUAUUAUAGUGAAGCAUAAAUGUAUGGCACAAGAUUCCUUGCUAAGCUUUUGGUAAUAAGACUUCUUGCUGAGCAUGCUGAUCAGAUAUGUCCUUCAACUGAAAGCUCUUUCUUCUCUGCUUCUUGAUGUAGUAACUGGUUCUGCUUUGUAUUACAGCUGCUCAUUCUCCCAAGCAUGCCAUUUUGCAAGGGAAAUACUUACAAUUGCACCCAUAAUUUGGCACCACAGUCUUGAAUCAGGAUGAACUCCUUUAGCACUUACCAUAUCACUCAUUGCAUACCUUAGAAAUAUUAAAGAAGUCCUGUAUAUACCAAAGCGACUUUGAUUGAUUUCUACUGGCACUUGUGACAAUCAAUAACAAACCUGAAAAUGGUUCUGAUCAUUUUCAAUAGUUCUGGGGGAAUGGACUUUUCUGCUAAUCAUCAUCUAAGGCUGAACAAAUGUUUAAGCCAGGAUGCUAACUGGAACACUGCUCUGAAACAACAGCACUGGCAUUCAAUCAGCUUUGAACGCUGAUUUCAUGAUCUGACUACUCUACGUCCUUCUGGAAGAUGCUAACUGUUAUCCUCACCAAAAUUUCAUCCACCAUUAGCUGUGUGAUUACGCUGGACUUUAUUUUGGGCCAUCAUGAUCAAUCAUAGCACACAAAAAAAUGGGCAAUACUCAUCCAUAUUUUGUUAAUCUAUCGUGAUUUCAAAUAUGCAUUUGGGGGAAAAAUAGAUUUUGUCUUUACAUCUAUCCUUGUCCAGGUAGACCAUAAUUGCACAGCCAGACAAUUCAGUGUUUGGACUAUUUUGAUAACAGAUCUGAUGGAAUUAUAGUUGAGAUACUGCAUGAGACAUUGGUUGUCUCCUAAGCUGAGUUUCAUGCCUGUAUUGAAUUUUAUUAUUGCUGAAACUGGUGAAUGACAAAGUUAAUUCAGUACAGUUAAUAAUUGGUAAUUCAGCCUUCAAUCAUGCCUGAAAUCUACUCUGCUUCUACAGGGGCCUUAGGUGACAGGAAAUCUCUGGGGUUGAUUUAUGGAAAUAUUUGGACUGCAACACACUGAACAUUUUUAUAUCUUUAUUUAUCUGUUUCUAUUUCCAGUUCCUCUGUUUACCAUAAAUUUUCCCAGAGACUAUGCUUAGUUAUAGUUUUCAUACUUUUAUAACAAUAUCAUAAUUAAUAAUCUACUUCAGACUAAAAGGAAUGCAUUGCAGAAAUGAUCAUAAUCAUCACAAUCUUAUUGAGGAUUUUGACUGGGUAAACUUCAAAGAACUAUGUAAAUAGUUAACUAGUUGUUUAUCCAUAUCAGUAUGCACAUUUUAAUCAUUCAGCACACAAAGAACUUUCUCAUAACCGGUGAAGUUAAUGAGAUAGAGAUAUAGAUCAGCUGAUUUAAUUUUUGUUUUCUUUCUUUGUAAGUUUCUUCAAAAUACUUGCUGAUAAAGGUACACAUAUUACCUAAAAUAUUUGGUAGUUAUAGUACAGCAUGGCAUUAAACUCAUUUGGUCAGAUGACUAGAGGAUGGUACAGAAUAAUGCCAGUGCACAUGUUAAGUACUUGUACCAGUAUUUAGUUCAUUGAGGCCUGCCUUGCCUUGACCCACAUUGAUGCAGAGUGGUGCCCCUCAAGUUGUCUCUUUCUAAAAGGAUAGAAAUGACCAUUGUCCCUUGGGGACAAUGGGUAAUUACCACACAGAAUGGAACUACUUUGCCCAUCGUCCCUGUGCUGGAUCUCUGGUUUGUCGUAAAAUUCCUGUUUUGUAUUCUGUCAUAUUUGUAAAGUUCCAAAUCCCGUAUGAUUUAUUAAGCAAUCUUUCAGUUUUCUUUGACAUUAUCAAUGAUUUGUGUUCAUAUAGUUGGCAUGUUCCGCUGCUCAUAUGCUGCCUUUAUUUUAGUUUAGAUCAGAUUUCCUACAGUGUGGAAACAGGCCCUUUGGCCCAACAAGUCCACACCGACCCUCCCAAGAGUAACACCCUAG